rnacentral:rRNA from 1 species
GACGAACGCUGGCGGCGUGCUUAACACAUGCAAGUCGAACGGAAAGGCCUCUUUCGGUGGGUACUCGAGUGGCGAACUGGUGAGUAACACGUGAGUAACCUGGCCUUGACUUUGUGAUAAGUUCAGGAAACUGGGGCUAAUACCGGAUAGGGGCUCCUGCUGCAGGGUGGGGGUUGGAAAGUUUCGGCGGUUGGGGAUGGACUCGCGGCGUAUCAGCUUGAUGGUGGGGGAGUGGCUUACCAAGGCUUUGACGGGUAGCCGGACUGAGAGGGUGACCGGCCACCUUGAGACUGAGAUACGGCCCAGGCUCCUACUGGAGGAAGAAGUGGGGAAGAGUGAUCCAGGGGUGGAAGCCUGAUGCAGCAGCGCCGUGUGCGGGAUGACGGCCUUGGGGUUGUAAACCGCUUUCGCUCAUGACGAAGCUUUGUGUGACGGUAGUGGAUAAAGAAGCACCGGCUAACUACGUG